rnacentral:rRNA from 1 species
GGGUUGUGAGGUUAAGCGACUAAGCGUACACGGUGGAUGCCUAGGCAGUCAGAGGCGAUGAAGGGCGUGCUAAUCUGCGAUAAGCGUCGGCAAGGUGAUAUGAACCGUUAUACCCGACGAUACCCGAAUGGGGAAACCCAGUGUGUUUCGACACACUAUCAUUAACUGAAUCCAUAGGUUAAUGAGGCGAACCGGGGGAACUGAAACAUCUCAGUACCCCGAGGAAAA